rfam:Asian citrus Psyllid, Diaphorina citri - Florida Strain, whole genome shotgun sequence.
GCCUAGUUAGCUUAGUUGGUAGUGCGUCUACCUUGUAAGCGGUAGGCCGCGGGUUCGAUUCCCGCCCGGGGCG